rnacentral:rRNA from 2 species
GUCCUUUUGAAUUUUUAUUUGAGGUCUAGUCUGCCCACUGAAUUUAUAUUUUAAAUGGCCGCAGUAUUUUGACUGUGCAAAGGUAGCAUAAUCAUUAGUUUUUUAAUUAAAAGCUUGUAUGAAAGGCUGGACGAGGUAAAAUCUGUCUCUAUUUAAAUUAUAGUAGAAUUUAACUUUUAAGUUAAAAGGCUUAAAUAUUAUUAAAAGACGAGAAGACCCUAUAGAUCUUUAUAAUUUAUUAAAUAAAAUUAAUUUAGAAAUAUUAAUGUUUUAUUUAAUUAAAUUAUUUUAUUGGGGUAAUAGAAAGAUUAAAUUAAUUCUUUUUUAUAAUAAACAUUUAUUUAUGAGUAUUGAUGAUCCAAUUUUAUUGAUUAUAAGAUUAAGUUACCUUAGGGAUAACAGCGUAAUUUUUUUAGAGAGUUCAUAUCGAUAAAAAAGUUUGCGACCUCGAUGUUGGAUUAAAGAUUAUUUUAGGUGUAGAAGCUUAAUAAUUUUGGUCUGUUCGACCAUUAAAUCUUUAC